rnacentral:rRNA from 1 species
UACAGAGGGGGCAAGCGUUGUUCGGAAUUACUGGGCGUAAAGGGCGCGUAGGCGGCCUGCUAAGUCGAACGUGAGAUCCCCGGGCUCAACCCGGGAACUGCGUCCGAUACUGGUUGGCUUGAAUCCGGGAGAGGGAUGCGGAAUUCCAGGUGUAGCGGUGAAAUGCGUAGAUAUCUGGAGGAACACCGGUGGCGAAGGCGGCAUCCUGGACCGGCAUUGACGCUGAGGCGCGAAAGCCAGGGGAGCAAACGGG